rnacentral:rRNA from 1 species
GCCUACAGCCGUACCACCCUGAACAUGCCCGAUCUCAUCUGAUCUUGGAAGCUAAGUAAGGUCAGGUCUGCUUAGUACUUGGAGUUCCAAAAAAGGUGAGUGCAAACCAGACAUGUUAGUG